AGAGCGAACGCUGGCGGCAGGCCUAACGCAUGCAAGCCGAGCGGCCGUAGCAAUACGGCAGCGGCAGACGGGAGAGUAACACGUGGGAACGUGCCUAUCAGUUCGGAACAACCCAGGGAAACUUGGGCUAAUACCGGAUACGCCCUUACGGGGAAAGAUUUAUCGCUGAUAGAGCGGCCCGCGUCUGAUUAGCUAGUUGGUGAGGUAACGGCUCACCAAGGCGACGAUCAGUAGCUGGUCUGAGAGGAUGAUCAGCCUCAUUGGGACUGAGACACGGCCAAACUCCUACGGAGGCAGCAGGUGGGAAUAGUGGACAAGUGGGCGCAAGUCCGUGAUCCACGCCAUGCCGACGUGGAUGAUGAAGGUCCGUUAGGGUAGUAAAGUCCGUUUACGGACGGGAAGAGUAAGUGAACGGUACCCGUAAGAAGAACGCCCGGACUAACGUCGCGACCACGCACGCCGAC
rnacentral:rRNA from 1 species